rnacentral:lncRNA from 1 species
AUAAAUACCGAAAUUCAUCAUAUGAAGGGCAAGAACGACCAAGGAGAAGGGAGAGACCAAAAUUGGAGGCAAGAAACUUGAUUUCGGAUUCAAUUUCACACGGGCUCGAGCCGGGAUUGAAGAUUAUACACACGGAUUGAAGAAAUUCCAUACGGGUGUAUUCUUAUUAUCUUUUAAUUUCGUUUUUCAAUUUCUUGAUUUUGUAAUGAUGAUUAUAGGCUAGGGUUUUUGUUCAUUAGGAAUUUGAUGAACCUUUUGAUGAUUUAAAUUUCCGUUAUUUCAU